GCAACCGCUGUCGAGGUCAGAGUCUGCGAAUUGUUAGCCAAGUGUCUCAUGAGGGUGAACAUUAUAUCACUAGCAUAAAACAGAGAUGUAGAGAGGGCAAAAUAAGUGUUUGGAGAUGAAUAGAGGAUAAUAAAUGAUCCCCUCUUAUCAUGUGACCUUUUGAUGGAGCUGGAUCCCAAGCCAGAGAACAUGAAAGGCUUUGAUGACGCUCAGCCCUGCAGAAUCAAGCGGCUCGCUCCAAGAGAUUUUUUGAUUAGGGAUGUUUCAGAACCACAGGCUGACACGCCGCGCCUGUCAGGAAUCUAACAAGGCUUGAGGUUAUCUCUCUAUCAGCAGCCAAACAGUGCUGAAACGCAGCACAAUGCCAGCCAAACAGAUUUCAUAAAUCACUCCUCUGCAGGCCGAGAUUGGAUUUACUGGCACAAUGUUACGGACAUGCUGCCAGAACCACAGUUAGGAAUGAGAAAAGCUCCUCUGAACAUCACACAUCCAUAUUAGGAGACCUUGAUUCUGAAGCUGGAGAUUAGCACAUUCCAGACAGACAGACGGACAGGCCACAUCUGGAAGGCAACCAAGGGCCACCCCCCUUCUUUCUCCCCUCCCUGGUCCCUGUGUCUGUCAUCCCACCCAGAGAGGGGAAGUGGUCUUUCUCUCCCUGGGGGGCUGCUAAUGGUACAGCAGGAUGGAGCCACCAUGCAGCAAAAGUCCUCUCAGCUCACUGGCCCUGACAUCCAUCUCCAUGAUCAUACACUGAAAGAAGAAAAAAAAGAGGGGGGGGGACUGUAGUGACUUCAUUUUGCAGCACAUGUAGGUGUACAUAGAUGCACACACCCAUGCAAACCAAUGCACACCCACAGUAGCAGAGAAGAA